UGGAGGGCAAGUCUGGUGCCAGCAGCCGCGGUAAUUCCAGCUCCAAUAGCGUAUAUUAAAGUUGUUGCAGUUAAAAAGCUCGUAGUUGAAUUUCGGGAUCAAUAUUUCGGUCAUGCCGUUGGUAUGCACUGUUAUCAUUGAUUUCUCACCUUCUAAAGAACCGUGAUGCCAUUAAUUUGGUGUUACGGGGAAUUAGGACUGUUACCUUGAAAAAAUUAGAGUGUUUAAAGCAGGCUCACGCUUGAAUACAUUAGCAUGGAAUAAUGAAAUAGGACAUCCGAUUCUAUUUUGUUGGUUUCUAGGAUCGAUGUAAUGAUUAAUAGGGAUAGUUGGGGGCAUUAGUAUUCAAUUGUCAGAGGUGAAAUUCUUGGAUUUAUUGAAGACUAACUACUGCGAAAGCAUUUGCCAAGGAUGUUUUCAUUAAUCAAGAACGAAAGUUAGGGGAUCGAAGACGAUCAGAUACCGUCGUAGUC
rnacentral:rRNA from 1 species